rnacentral:rRNA from 1 species
AGUGAACGCUGGCGGUAGGCCUAACACAUGCAAGUCGAACGGCAGCACAGGAGAGCUUGCUCUCUGGGUGGCGAGUGGCGGACGGGUGAGGAAUACAUCGGAAUCUACUUUUUCGUGGGGGAUAACGUAGGGAAACUUACGAUAAUACCGCAUACGACCUACGGGUGAAAGCAGGGGACCUUCGGGCCUUGCGCGAUUGAAUGAGCCGAUGUCGGAUUAGCUAGUUGGCGGGGUAAAGGCCCACCAAGGCGACGAUCCGUAGCUGGUCUGAGAGGAUGAUCAGCCACACUGGAACUGAGACACGGUCCAGACUCCUACGGGAGGCAGCAGUGGGGAAUAUUGGACAAUGGGCGCAAGCCUGAUCCAGCCAUACCGCGUGGGUGAAGAAGGCCUUCGGGUCGUAAUGCCCUUUUGUUGGGAAAGAAAUCCAGCUGGCUAAUACCCGGUUGGGAUGACGGUACCCAAAGAAUAAGCACCGGCUAACUUCGUGCCAGCCGCCGCCGUAA